CUUCUAUUUUUGAUAUUUAUUUUAUAUAUUUAAAUGCCAUUUAACAAAGAAAAAUCAACCAAAAAAAUGAGUUCGCGUGUCACUUCUAACAUGCGUGUCAAGUUCUCCAUCACUGCUCUAGGGCUUAUAGACCAAAUCGCCCGGCUGCCUCUUCUCCAGGAAAACCUUCGACUCCAACUGCCACCAGCCAAGUCUGAGGGCUUUGGGCCUAUGUCCAGGCCUAGGGGGGGAUGAUGGUUCUUUUAAAUCUUUGCCUUCCUGCUCUGCAAAAGUAAUAGCAUUAAAUUGUUUUAAUUUGCAUUAUUUCCUAACUUUCAAGUUUGCACUUAUUUUUAUAUUGUGAGUCUCAGUAUUUUUUUGUUUGUUUGUUUUUGUUUUCUACUGGAAUAAGGCCAUUAAGGACUUUGUUCUGUCAGGUGCUCACCGUUUUCUGAAGAAUUUUUUGAAUCUAUUUAUAUGGUCUUUCACGCAUGGUGCCAGUUUCCCCCCCUCGUUUGUGGUUUGUCUUUAAUUGUGUAGACGGGGCUGUGGGUGUCCACAGAGCAGUUUCUCGGGGAACGCCACCGUGGCUCCGUGUUGGUGUGAAAUUUACGAAGGCCUUCCCACUUCAAAAGUGCUGUUGUCCUGAUGGGUUGAUUUGUUUCUCGUUCUUUUUGUGUUUCAAGCUUCUCAUGUAAAACUGUAAUGAUUUGGGGACGUACGCGUGUGAGGUGGCGGCCAGCCAUAGGCUGCCCGCAGGGAGUUUUUCAUUAUUCGAUGAGUCACCUGUUCUCUGUCCACAAGUCCGAAAGGCCGCUCUUACCGUACAGAACGGCCCCGCACGUACUUAUUUCUAGGCUUUCCAUUUCUCACAUUGUCCUCUCCACGGCGCCCUGCCGUUAGCAAUGUCUGUGGUCAAAGAAAAUUAUAAGCAACGGAAGUAUUCGCCAAUAGUGAAAUGAAUAACAAUACUUUUUGUGCAUUCUAAAGUACAAACCUGUGUUUAAAAUGAAUGAGGUGGACCUAUGUGUAUUAGAAAGAAGUCCAAGCUAUUCGUUCCAAAAUGUUCAGACACUGUUCACUGAAAGAAACUGCAAUAAAGUCUUUCUUCUUAUAAAACCAAA